rnacentral:rRNA from 1 species
GAGUUUGAUCGUGGCUCAGGAUGAACGCUGGCGGCGUGCCUAAUACAUGCAAGUCGAGCGAACUGAUUAGAAGCUUGCUUCUAUGACGUUAGCGGCGGACGGGUGAGUAACACGUGGGCAACCUGCCUGUAAGACUGGGAUAACUUCGGGAAACCGAAGCUAAUACCGGAUAGGAUCUUCUCCUUCAUGGGAGAUGAUUGAAAGAUGGUUUCGGCUAUCACUUACAGAUGGGCCCGCGGUGCAUUAGCUAGUUGGUGAGGUAACGGCUCACCAAGGCAACGAUGCAUAGCCGACCUGAGAGGGUGAUCGGCCACACUGGGACUGAGACACGGCCCAGACUCUACGGGAGCAGCAGUAGGAAUCUUCCGCAAUGGACGAAAGUCUGACGGAGCAACGCCGACGUGAGUGAUGAAGGUCUUUCGGGUCGUAAAACUCUGUUGUUAGGGAAGAACAAGUACAAGAGUAACUG